GUUGAUCCUGCCGGAGAUGACCGUUAUCAGGGUUCGACUUACCCAUGCUAGCCGUGAGGUGAAAGACCUCGGCGCAUUGCUGAGUAACACGUAGUUAACCUGCUCUGUAGUGGAGGAUAAUCUUGCGAAAGUGAGUUCAAUACUCCAUAUUCUACGAAGGCUGGAAUGCAUUGUAGAAGAAAGUUUCGGCGCUACAGAAUGGGACUGCGACGUAUCAGGCUGUUGUCGGUGUAAUGAACCGACAAACCUAUAACGCGUAGGGGCUAUGAGAGUAGGAGCCUUCAGAUGCCUUCUGAGACAUGAAGGCAGGUCCUACGGGACGCAGCAGGGGCGAAAACUUCCCAAUUCGUUAACGCGUGAGGAGGGAACCCUGAGUGGUAAUACUUUUGUAUUACCUUUUGUCAAGUCCAAAAAGCUUGGCGAAUAAGAGUUGGGCAAGACGGGUGCCAGCCGCCGCGGUAAUACCCGCGACUCAAAUGGUCAUCACGAUUAUUGUGUCUAAAGCGUCCGUAGCCGGUUUGGCAAGUCUCUGGUGAAAUCUGGCAGCAAACUGUCAGGCGUGCUGGAGAAACUAUCAAACUUGGGAGCGGGAGAGGACAGAGGUAUUCCAUAGGUAGGGGUUAAAUCCGUUAAUCUAUGGAGGACCACCGGUGGCGAAGGCGUCUGUCUGGAACGCGUCCGACGGUGAGGGACGAAAGCUGGGGGAGCAAACCGGAUUAGAUACCCGGGUAGUCCCAGCUGUAAACAAUGCCCGUUUGGUGUUGCUGACCUUAUGGGGGUCGGCAGUGCCGGAGUGUAGAUGUUAAACGGGCCACAUGGGGAGUACGGCCGCAAGGCUGAAACUUAAGGGAAUUGGCGGGGGAGCACACAAUGGGUGGAGGCUGCGGUUCAAUUGGAUUAAACGCCGGACACCUUACUAGGAUUGACAGCAGAAUGAAGGUCACCCUGAAGGGGUUACCAGACAAGCUGAGAGGAGUUGCAUGGCCAUCGUCAGCUCGUACCGUGAGGCGUGCCGUUAAGUCGGUUAACGAGCGAGACCCACACUCACAGUUGCAAUCGUAUUAUCUUUUCGAGCAAUCGGAAAACUAGUACGAGCACUCUGUGAGGACCGCUGUUGUUAAAACAGAGGAAGGAGUGGGCGACGGUAGGUCCGUAUGGCCCGAAUAUCCUAGGCUACACGCGGCCUACAAUGCGUAAGACAACGCGAUGCGACACCGAAAGGUGAAGCCAACCGCUCAAACUUACGCUUAGUUCGAAUUGAGGGCUGAAACUCGCCCUCAUGAAGCCGGAAUCCAUAGUAGACGAGAGUCAUAAUCUUUCGUCGAAUACGUCCCUGCUCUUUGCACACACCGCCCGUCAAGCCAUGCGAGUGGGUUUCCGGUGACGCGU
rnacentral:rRNA from 1 species